rnacentral:lncRNA from 1 species
GCCAGCAGCUCCCAGUGACAGCCCAUUUUAUCUGUAGUUAGCUCUCAUUCUUUGAGAGCACUUGCCUAAACGGUGUCAAGAUCUAUUUAUUCUCCUGCUCUGUCUGUUGACAGGUUUUGGUUUCCUCUUCUAGAAUAGCUAAGUUAAACAUUCUUACAUCUGACCACACUUCAAAUAUGGGCCAGUCCACAUACUCUGCAUCCUUCUGCCUGUUUCCCGGCCUCUUUGUUUCUCCUCUUCUUCUACCACAAAUACAGGUGAGCUACUCUGAGAAUUCAACCCUCAAGGAUCAGAGGAAGCAGAGGGGUCAGGGAUACCACGAGAACAGAGCCCACAGAAUUAACUGACCCGGACUGGUGGGAGCUCAUAGAGAUCAUGGAGCCUACAGGAGUCCUCUGCACAUGUCAUGGUUAAGUAGCUUGCUGUUCCUGUAGGAUUUCUAGCAGUGGGAAUGGGGGCUGCCACGAAGUCUUUUGCCUAUUUGUGGGACCCUGUUCCUACUGGGUUGCCUCAUCCAUCUUUGAUGUGAGGUCUGUGCCUGGUCUUACUGUAGCUUGUUCUGUUUUGUUGAUGUCCCUGGAAAGCCUCCUCUUUUCUGAGAGGGAGGGCGUGGGGAUGCGGGGGUGAGGAGCUGGGGUUGGAUCUGAG